rnacentral:lncRNA from 1 species
GCGAAUUCUAGUCAACCGCCAGUCUCCUCAGAGUCUUAGCCUCUGAUCCUUAGUGAUGCUGGGUUCAUGUCUGUCUCAUUGCCUAUGUUUUUGUGAAAUACAGAUGAAAACAAAAGUAUCAACAAAGGACCACCAGGAUCACAGAGCCAAAAUGAAUUAAAGUCAUCCAUGCGUGGGUAGUGUGUCGGCCUCAUGCAGUACUGAGAAUAGUUAACAGAAGUAGACCAAAUCCAAAGCUAGGUUGCUACUAAUUUUGGAGUAAAAUGAUUUGAUGAUAUGUAUGACAUAAUG